rnacentral:rRNA from 1 species
GACGAACGCUGGCGGCGUGCUUAACACAUGCAAGUCGAACGGAAAGGCCCUGCUUGCAGGGUACUCGAGUGGCGAACGGGUGAGUAACACGUGGGUGAUCUGCCCUUCACUUCGGGAUAAGCCUGGGAAACUGGGUCUAAUACCGGAAAGGAGCCAUUUUUAGUGUGAUGGUUGGAAAGUUUUUUCGGUGUAGGAUGAGCUCGCGGCCUAUCAGCUUGUUGGUGGGGUAAUGGCCUACCAAGGCGGCGACGGGUAGCCGGCCUGAGAGGGUGGACGGCCACAUUGGGACUGAGAGACGGCCCAGACUCCGACGGGAGGCAGCAGUGGGGAAGAUUGCACAAUGGGCGCAAGCCUGAUGCAGCGACGCCGCGUGGGGGAUGACGGCCUUCGGGUUGUAAACUCCUUUCGCUAGGGACGAAGCUUUUUGUGACGGUACCUAGAUAAGAAGCACCGGCUAACUACGUG